GAAAAUUUCCCAAAUCUCUGAAUUCUCCUAAAUUCUCCUCUCUUCUUCAAAUUCUUUUCUUCUUCCUUUACUCUUAAUUUUGUUCCAUAACAUUCUUCUUCUUUUUGUAUUGAAUGAUCAGUUAACCUCCGAUUGUCAAAUUAACGAGUGCAUAAGUGAUUUCCCUUUGGAUUCUUCUUUUGAUUUGGACUUUCCUUUUUUUGGUUAUGGUGGUAGCUGGUGAGCCCUGGGGCGUGGUUGACUGGUAUAUGCCAAUAAAGAUAUGAAGUUAGGGAAAAGAAGAGUUCUAAGAAGACCAAGAUGAUUAAGGGUCAUGGGGAGUAUGGAAAGUAAUUCAGAUUGAAGAUACAUCAAUGGCAGCAAUAGAGCGCUUUUUCUUUUCUGAUAUUUUAGGGGAAUAUUUUUGGAGUUGAUGUCAAUGGGUUGGGGAAAAAUAUAGAGAAGUUAAAAUAGGGUCUACUUGCUAAGGUUUU